GAUUUUCAAAUCCAUAAUCUAGAAUCUGGGAGGCCUCCGAAAGACAUGGGUACCCAUGAGUCCCCCGGCUAGGAUGAUCUGGACGCAUGGAUCAGCAGAUCGUGAAACUGCAUGAAGCACAAGCUAGAAGGUCGGGCGAGUAGAUUUCGCUCGGAUAUUCUAGGAUAUGACUUGUACACCAAGUUAGAUUAAUUUCCUUGUAACAACCGAUUAGGAUUAGAUCCAAUCCGACUUGUAAUCUUAAGUCGUCAGCCUAUAUAAGACGUCUAGAGACACCACCCUCCCCCCCAAGGGACAUCCCAUCCUAGACCUCAC
rnacentral:lncRNA from 1 species